rnacentral:lncRNA from 1 species
CUUCCUUUCACCAAUUCUGUGGUUACCCUGAGAUAUGAUUUGUAUGAGAAGGGCAGGACAAACUUUUGAUCUCCCCUUUAUUUUCCAAUUUUCAAAACGAGGUGAUUCCCCAGCAUCUUUGCAAGGGGACCAGGGCAGCUGUCUUCUUAAGUCACCGUGAAUUCGUGUGCUCAGAGCUCGGCUGCUGUGGUCCUUCCUGUUGCCCAUAUUGUCCCAUCUUCUGCUCUGAAGAGCUGCUCUAAGUUGGCUGAUUCCUUUUGACAGGACCCUACUCGUCUUGCUUGUUUCCCAGUUAUUUUGUAGGAAAAGAUGUUUCCAGCACAUAUCCCGUAUUUCCUGUCUGGGCCCUGAAAUCAGCCACUGCUUUCCACAAAUCCAUGGUUCCUUCUGGAAGGGAAUGGGAGACAGAGGUCAAGAUCUUUGUUCUGGUGCAGGUCUUUUGGCUUCACUGUGUACAGCUGAGAAAUAUAUUUUAUUAGUACUUUUGAAAGACAAAACACUAUGUAAGUUAAUGCUGAUUCUUCCAAUUCAAUUCACGACUGUUUUUUUUAAUACAACAAAACCUUUCAAUAUCACCAAAAUAAUUUGUAAAUUUAAAAAAAUCUUCUGAAUGACAAUGUCAUCAAUGUCAUCCUGCAAACAUGAUUACUGAAGACAGUUAAAAUGCUUCUUUUGUGAUUUUUUUUUUAGCUGUAGUUGUACACAAUACCUUUGUUUUAUUUAUUUAUUUUUAUGUGGUAGUGAGGAUCGAACCCAAGGCUUCACACAUGCUAGGCAAGCACUCUACCACUGAGCCACAGCCUCGGCCCCUCAACUUGCUGUUUUUAUAUCACUUGGGAUAGUUCCCCUCUCUGUGGUUAUGUCCCAAAUUACAAUCAGG